CAAACAAUCCCAAACACAGGCUUUGCCCUCCUUGUACGUUGAGACAAAGGAAGCAGAAAUGAGCCUGGGAUCACAGUCUGCGCUGAGCAGCAUGGAGCAAACAGGGCGUCCCCUUCUCAGUGACAGAGGGACUUGGGCUGACCAACCGUCUUGGCUUCCCUGGGACUGUCCCAGCUCAGCACUGAAAAUCUCAUGCCGAUGAAAACCCCCGCAGGCCUGGGCAGAUGGGAACCUUGGUCACUCUUGCAGAAACUUGAGUCAGACUCGGUGCUUAUUGGGGAACUUGCUAACCUGGAAAGUAUGCAGAGAGAUCUGAAGAUGACAAUCUAUGCCUUUGCCUGACUCUUUCCACAGCUGCCUGAGACGCUAGACCCAAAGGCCA
rnacentral:lncRNA from 10 species